rnacentral:rRNA from 1 species
GAUGAACGCUGGCGGCGUGCCUAAUACAUGCAAGUCGAGCGAAUGGAUUAAGAGCUUGCUCUUAUGAAGUUAGCGGCGGACGGGUGAGUAACACGUGGGUAACCUGCCCAUAAGACUGGGAUGACUCCGGGAAACCGGGGCUAAUACCGGAUAACAUUUUGAACCGCAUGGCUCGAAAUUGAAAGGCGGCUUCGGCUGUCACUUAUGGAUGGACCCGCGUCGCAUUAGCUAGUUGGUGAGGUAACGGCUCACCAAGGCAACGAUGCGUAGCCGCCCUGAGAGGGUGAUCGGCCACACUGGGACUGAGACACGGCCCAGACUCCUACGGGAGGCAGCAGUAGGGAAUCUUCCGCAAUGGACGAAAGUCUGACGGAGCAACGCCGCGUGAGUGAUGAAGGCUUUUGGGUCGUAAAACUCUGUUGUUAGGGAAGAACAAGUGCUAGUUGAAUAAGCUGACACCUUGACGGUACCUAACCAGAAAGCCACGGCUAACUACGUGCCAGCAGCCGCAGUAA